rnacentral:rRNA from 1 species
CCUACGGGGGGCAGCAGUGGGGAAUAUUGGACAAUGGGCGCAAGCCUGAUCCAGCCAUGCCGCGUGAGUGAUGAAGGCCUUAGGGUUGUAAAGCUCUUUUAGCGGGGACGAUAAUGACGGUACCCGCAGAAAAAGCCCCGGCUAACUUCGUGCCAGCAGCCGCGGUAAUACGAAGGGGGCUAGCGUUGCUCGGAAUCACUGGGCGUAAAGCGCACGUAGGUGGGUUCUUAAGUCAGGGGUGAAAUCCUGGAGCUCAACUCCAGAACUGCCUUUGAUACUGGGAAUCUUCGAGUCCGGGAGAGGUGGGUGGAACUGCGAGUGUAGAGGUGAAAUUCGUAGAUAUUCGCAAGAACACCAGUGGCGAAGGCGGCUCACUGGCCCGGUACUGACACUGAGGUGCGAAAGCGUGGGGAGCAAACAGGAUUAGAUACCCGAGUAG